rnacentral:ncRNA from 1 species
GAAGAGAGAGUUCAAGAGUACGUGAAACCGUUCAGGGGUAAACCUAAGAAACCCUAAAGAUCGAACGGGGAGAUUCAUCGUCAGCGACGCUGGCUUCGCGUCGGUGGGCGAUGCCACGCGGGGCCCUCGCGGCUCGCGCGCCGUCACGCCGCCGUGCGUCCGAUGUCCGGCCGUCGUCGUCGUGCACUUCUCCCCUAGUAGAACGUCGCGACCCGCUGGGUGUCGGUCUACGGCCCGGGUGCGGUGGCUGACGCGACGCCGGUAAAACGGCCCGCGUCAAACCCCGGGUCGCCCGGCCGACUACCCGGCGGUACACGCAAUGUAUCAGGCCGCAGCUCGCUGUGCGUCGAGGCCGUCGCAAGCGCGCGACACGGUACACGGAUGUUCAACGUACCUAGCGCCGUCACCUGUCCUGGCCCGCUGCUGGCACGUACGGUUAACCUUCGACAGGCCUGCAAACGCGUCCACCGCCGGGUCCGCGCGCGCGUGGGCUCCGCGAUACCGGUCGGCGACGCUACUGCUUUGGGUACUCUUAGGACCUGUCUUGAAACACGGACCAAGGAGUCUAACAUGUACGCGAGUCACUGGGACUUGUAAUGGUAUACCUAAAGGCGAAAUGAAAGAGAAGGUCGGCCCUGGUUGUCGACCAAGGUAGGAUGGGCCGCGUCGCGAUGCGGCUCCACACUCCCGGGGCGUCUCGUUCUCAUCGCGAGAAGAGGCGCACCCAGAGCGUACACGUUGGGACCCGAAAGAUGGUGAACUAUGCCUGGUCAGGACGAAGUCAGGGGAAACCCCGAUGGAGGUCCGUAGC